rnacentral:tRNA from 1 species
CGGCCAGAGGGGGUUGAGCCCCAUAAAUGAGUUUACAAUUCACCACCUAUUCAGCCACCUGACC